AGCUAGCCUAUAAUAUUAAUUCAACUAGACCUUAUAAAUCUAAUAUAUAUAUUACAAUUUUUAAUCAAAACAUUCUCAACCUUCUAGUAUGGGUGACAGAACAAUAACCUCAGCGCAAUAGCUUAUGUACCGCAAGGGAAAGCUGAAAAAGAAAUGAAACAAAUCAUUAAAGUACUAAAAAGCAGAGAUUAUACCUCGUACCUUUUGCAUCAUGAUUUAGCUAGAAAAACUAGGCAAAAAGACCUUAAGUCUAUCUCCCCGAAACUAAACGAGCUACUCCGAAGCAGCAUUACAAGAGCCAACCCGUCUCUGUGGCAAAAGAGUGGGAAGACUUCCGAGUAGCGGUGAAAAGCCUACCGAGUUUAGUGAUAGCUGGUUACCCAAGAAAAGAACUUCAGUUCUGCAUUAAUUUUUCACUAUCUAAACAAGACUUACUCGUCAAAGAAAUCUAUAAGAAUUAAUAGUUAUUUAGAAGAGGUACAACCCUUCUAAACCAAGACACAACUUUUUAAGGUGGGAAAUGAUCAUAAUUAUUAAGGUUACCAUCUCAGUGGGCCUAAAAGCAGCCAUCUGUCAAGUAAGCGUCGCAGCUCUAAUCUAAUAAUUAAACCUCUAAUUCAGAUAUCCAUUCAUAACCCCCUUUAUCCUAUUGGGUUAUUUUAUAUUUAUAUAAAAGAACUUAUGCUAAAAUGAGUAAUAAAGAGAACAAAUCUCUCCCGACACAAGUGUAUGUCAGAAAGAAUUAAAUCACUGAUAAUUAAACGACCCCAAACUGAGGUCAUUAUAUUACUUAAUCAUUAACUAGAAAAUCCUAUUCUCUUACCCGUUA
rnacentral:rRNA from 1 species